GCAAUUUGCCCAGAGUAAACUACAGGCAUUAAAUACAGUCUGAUCUCACCAAAAAACGCACGAAUCAAUGCUAUGGAGUUUGUACUGCAGUCAAAUUGCACACAGAAAGUACAGACUUAAGUUUAAGGUUUCUUAAACUUUGUGCAUAUCUCAAAUAGAUUCUGCAUAAGAUCAGCAAAUAAUGGCCAUAAGUAGGCUAUGAAUCAUUUUAAUUUACAAAAAAAAAGAUUUUACAGCACUGUAAAAAAUAAACGUGGCAAGUUUUUUUUUUUUCAAUCAGGUGGUCUCGUCUGAUUUGUCAUUGUCCAGGUUUGCCAACCAUUGCCAUAGCUACUAUUCGGUAUUCAGUCGAUACCAAAAAAGUGGAUUCGUCACAUCCCUAGUUUAUAAACCAGUGAAACCCCAGAAUCUUAAGGAGAAAAGCUGGAAACAGGUAUUAAGCCUACGUGGUGUUCUCCAAUUUACCAAAACGAACAAGACUUUUCACAUGGAGGCACAGAGUAAGAUCAACUCUAAGAG
rnacentral:lncRNA from 1 species